CCCAUAUCCUUUGUUGCCAGCGAUUAGCUCGGGAACUCAAAGGCGCCACCCAGAGAAAAACAGGAGGAAGGUGGGGAUGACGACAAGUCAUCAUGGCCCUUACGAACAGGGCUACACACGAGCUACAAUGGCGCAAACAAAGAGAAGCGCCCUCGCGAGAGCAAGAGCACCUCAUAAAGUGAGUCGUAGACCGGAUUAGAGUCUGCAACACGACACCAUAAAGACGGAAU
rnacentral:rRNA from 1 species